CCUACGGUGGGCUGCAGUGGGGAAUAUUGGACAAUGGGCGAAAGCCUGAUCCAGCCAUGCCGCGUGUGUGAAGAAGGCCUUCGGGUUGUAAAGCACUUUCAGUGGGGAAGAAAGCCUUGGGGCUAAUACCCUCGACGAAGGACAUCACCCACAGAAGAAGCACCGGCUAACUCCGUGCCAGCAGCCGCGGUAAUACGGAGGGUGCGAGCGUUAAUCGGAAUUACUGGGCGUAAAGCGCGCGUAGGCGGUCUGAUAAGCCGGUUGUGAAAGCCCCGGGCUCAACCUGGGAACGGCAUCCGGAACUGUCAGGCUAGAGUGCAGGAGAGGAAGGUAGAAUUCCCGGUGUAGCGGUGAAAUGCGUAGAGAUCGGGAGGAAUACCAGUGGCGAAGGCGGCCUUCUGGACUGACACUGACGCUGAGGUGCGAAAGCGUGGGUAGCAAACAGGAUUAGAUACCCUAGUAGUC
rnacentral:rRNA from 1 species